rnacentral:rRNA from 1 species
CGACGAGUGGCGGACGGGUGAGUAAUACUUAGGAAUCUGCCCAGUAGUGGGGGACAACUCGGGGAAACUCGAGCUAAUACCGCAUACGCCCUAAGGGGGAAAGCGGGGGGAUCUUCGGACCUCGCGCUAUUGGAUGAGCCUAAGUCGGAUUAGCUUGUAGGUAGGGUAACGGCCUACCUAGGCGACGAUCCGUAGCUGGUCUGAGAGGACGAUCAGCCACACUGGGACUGAGACACGGCCCAG